rnacentral:tRNA from 1 species
UCGGGGAUCGUCUAAAGGUAGGACAGUGGCCUUUGAAGCCAUCAAUCCUGGUUCGAGUCCAGGUCCCCGAG